AAAUGAUUAUGAGUAGUCUUUUUCAGUAAAAUGUUUCUACUUUUGUCUUUUGUUAAAUAGAAAUGAAACCACUAUCACUGUGAAAUUUACCACUCGCUUCCUUCGACCUGCUGAAGCUUCAUUGCUAUUAAUUUCAAAACCUAGGCAUGGAGUGGGAGGCAUUACCAUGACUUUUGCUUUAAAGGGAGAGAUCCUCAAUAUUAAAGCAAUUGAAAUUCUUAAAUGCGAAACUCCAUGUUAUCAAUGGAAGCAAGUCAUUGUACCUUUGAAAAACCCCUUCCCAACUGGUGGAAACUUUAAGUAAGUUAUUGGGUUUUUAAAAUUUUAAUUUUGUUUGCUAC
rnacentral:lncRNA from 1 species